rnacentral:tRNA from 1 species
GGUAUAUAGCUCAGUUGGUAGAGUGUUUGCAUCGCAUGCACAAGGCCCUGCGUUCAAUUCCCAGCACCA